CUACUCAUGCACAGAAUCACCUUUCAUUAUCUAACAGUGCAUGAAGGUUAGAUAUUCCA
rfam:Common-moorhen coronavirus HKT21, complete genome